rnacentral:rRNA from 1 species
ACACAUGCAAGUCGAGGGGCAGCGGGAUUGAAGCUUGCUUCAAUUGCCGGCGACCGGCGCACGGGUGAGUAACGCGUAUCCAACCUUCCGUACACUCAGGGAUAGCCUUUCGAAAGAAAGAUUAAUACCUGAUGGUAUGAUGAGAUUGCAUGAUAGCAUCAUUAAAGAUUCAUCGGUGUACGAUGGGGAUGCGUUCCAUUAGGUAGUAGGCGGGGUAACGGCCCACCUAGCCUACGAUGGAUAGGGGUUCUGAGAGGAAGGUCCCCCACAUUGGAACUGAGACACGGUCCAAACUCCUACGGGAGGCAGCAGUGAGGAAUAUUGGUCAAUGGACGAGAGUCUGAACCAGCCAAGUAGCGUGAAGGAUGAAGGUCCUACGGAUUGUAAACUUCUUUUAUACGGGAAUAAAGUUAGCCACGUGUGGCUUUUUGUAUGUACCGUAUGAAUAAGGAUCGGCUAACUCCGUGCCAGCAGCCGCGGUAAUACGGAGGAUCCGAGCGUUAUCCGGAUUUAUUGGGUUUAAAGGGAGCGUAGGUGGACAUGUAAGUCAGUUGUGAAAGUUUGCGGCUCAACCGUAAAAUUGCAGUUGAAACUGCGUGUCUUGAGUACAGUAGAGGUGGGCGGAAUUCGUGGUGUAGCGGUGAAAUGCUUAGAUAUCACGAAGAACUCCGAUUGCGAAGGCAGCUCACUGGACUGCAACUGACACUGAUGCUCGAAAGUGUGGGUAUCAAACAGGAUUAGAUACCCUGGUAGUCCACACAGUAAACGAUGAAUACUCGCUGUUUGCGAUAUACAGUAAGCGGCCAAGCGAAAGCAUUAAGUAUUCCACCUGGGGAGUACGCCGGCAACGGUGAAACUCAAAGG